ensembl:lncRNA
CUUGUUUGUAGUGUUGCAUGGAGAUGCAUCUCAUCUUAUUUAGUACCACCAGGGCUUUUGAUGAAUUGCAUUUUAUGGGAGCUUCCCUGGUGGUCCAGUGGUUAAGAAUCUGCCUGCCAGGGGCUUCCUGGUGGCUGUGAUAGAGUCCACCUGUCAGUGCAAAAGACACAAGUUUGAUCCCUGAUCUAGGAAGAUCCCACAUGCUGCAGAGCAACUAAGCCUGUGCACCAACUAUUGAGCCUGUGUGCUAGAGCCUGGGAGCCAAAACUACUGAGCCCAUGUGCCACCGCUGCUGAGGCCUGAGCACCUUACAGCCAGUGCUCCACAGCAAGAGAAGCCACAGCAAUGAGAAGCCACACACAAGUUUUUAAAAUUCACUUCUUGGGGACUGUGUCCUAUGAUGUACUGAGAUGUGAAAAGGCGAGGAAUUCAAUUGCUUCUCUGCUUUUCAAGAGUAUUCUAGCAGGAUCUUGAGGUGAAGUUUGUCCCUGCUUCUUGGUGCUGACAUUCCAAGUCCAGAAAGCCUAAUAUAAAUCCUUCCAUUGACCUUUAGAAAAGUACCCCCUCUUCCCUCACUCCUUUAUCUCCCUAGGGUAGCUCCUGAUGUACAGAGUUUCUACUUAAUCCUUCCCACUGAGGGAAGAAAUUCAAAAGUGUAUUUCCCUUCAAAUAUGUGGAAGAAAAGACUUGGGCCAAUUUGUAAAUAAGUGAACUUACUCUUCACUUGGUGUUACCUGAAACUGACCACAGGCCAUAUACUGUGCUCUCAGGGUGUUUUUUAGGGAAGCAGCUAACCAACACCCCCCACCCCCAAACUCCCUACCCAGUUUGUUAUAGAGGUCAUACUUGCAGCUCCUAUUGUAUAUGACUAAAUGGUAUCCAGGGCCUAGAAGACACAAUCAUAUAUAACAUUAUACCCAUCUGGCAUGCUGCUGUCUGAGCUUUGCUCUAUAUCAGAGACUUUGGGUCUAAAACCCCGUGACUUCUGAUAAAACAGGUGAUGCAUGUGAUAAGUCAGGAGGGACCAUCAUCCCAGUAAGUCAAGGGUGCCUUCUACACUAGGAAUUAUAUCUUCUGGAUAUGCUAACCUAUAGGUACUCCAAGGUGUGUCUAACUGGAAAAUAGAACAACUAUUGUCUAAUUGGAAAAUAGAACAACUAUUAGGGA